rnacentral:rRNA from 1 species
CUGGCUCAGGAUGAACGCUAGCGGCAGGCUUAACACAUGCAAGUCGAGGGGCAGCGCGGGUAGCAAUACUGGCGGCGACCGGCGAAAGGGUGAGUAACGCGUGAGCAACAUGCCCGGUAUUGGAGGAUAGUCGAUGGAAACGUCGCGUAAUACUCCAUAACAACAGGAGUCGCAUGGCUUUUGUUUGAAAGAUUCAUUGAUACCGGAUUGGCUCGCGUACCAUUAGCUAGUUGGCGGGUAACGGCCCACCAAGGCGACGAUGGUUAGGGGUUCUGAGAGGAAGGUCCCCCACAUUGGAACUGAGACACGGUCCAGACUCCUACGGGAGGCAGCAGUGAGGAAUAUUGGUCAAUGGCCGAGAGGCUGAACCAGCCAUGCCGCGUGCCGGGAGGACGGCCCUAUGGGUUGUAAACCGCUUUUGUAGGGGAGCAAUAAGCGCUACGUGUAGCGCGAUGAGAGUACCCUGCGAAUAAGCAUCGGCUAACUCCGUGCCAGCCGCGGC